rnacentral:rRNA from 1 species
CCUACGGGAGGCAGCAGUAGGGAAUCUUCGGCAAUGGGGGGAACCCUGACCGAGCAACGCCGCGUGAACGAAGAAGUUAUUCGUAAUGUAAAGUUCUUUUAACAGGGAAGAAAGAGAAAUUUGACGGUACCUGAAGAAUAAGCUCCGGCUAACUACGUGCCAGCAGCCGCGGUAAUACGUAGGGAGCGCGCGUUAUCCGGACUUAUUGGGCGAAAGGGGUGCGUAGAUGGCAUAGUAAGUCUUUUGUAAAAAUGCUGGGCUCAACCCAGUAGGGCAAAAGAUACUGCAAAGCUAGAGUAUGACAGAGGCAAGUGGAACUACAUGUGUAGCGGUAAAAUGCGUAAAUAUAUGUAAGAACACCAGUGGCGAAGGCGGCUUGCUGGGUCGAUACUGACAUUGAGGCACGAAAGCGUGGGGAGCAAACAGGAUUAGAUACCCUUGUAGUC